AGGAAAAGCAAGGAACAAGGGAAAAAGGUUUUUUCUUUUCUGUUGAUUUUUCAAAAUUAAAAAAAAAAAAACAACUAUUGCCAAUAUAUUGCAUAC
rnacentral:ribozyme from 13 species